rnacentral:rRNA from 1 species
GAUGAACGCUGGCGGCGUGCUUAACACAUGCAAGUCGAACGGUGAAGGCGGAGCUUGCUCUGCUGGAUCAGUGGCGAACGGGUGAGUAACACGUGAGCAAUCUGCCCCUGACUCUGGGAUAAGCGCUGGAAACGGCGUCUAAUACUGGAUACGAGCUGCGAAGGCAUCUUCAGCAGCUGGAAAGAAUUUCGGUCAGGGAUGAGCUCGCGGCCUAUCAGCUUGUUGGUGAGGUAAUGGCUCACCAAGGCGUCGACGGGUAGCCGGCCUGAGAGGGUGACCGGCCACACUGGGACUGAGACGCGGCCCAGACUCCUACGGGAGGCAGCAGUGGGGAAUAUUGCACAAUGGGCGAAAGCCUGAUGCAGCAACGCCGCGUGAGGGACGACGGCCUUCGGGUUGUAGACCUCUUUUAGCAGGGAAGAAGCGAAAGUGACGGUACCUGCAGAAAAAGCGCCGGCUAACUACGUG